rnacentral:piRNA from 1 species
UNCCUGUCACUAUUGUGCUUUCAGGCCA